GUGGGACUAGUUUAUCCGGCGAAAACUCCCGUCUUGCACGCGGAAGAGAACGGUUCGAGUCCGUUGUCCUACACUA
rnacentral:tRNA from 1 species